rnacentral:pre_miRNA from 1 species
CUUUUAUGGUUUGAUCCAAAGCCUAUUGAAAUCAAUGGGAGUCUUUCCAUUCACUUCAGCAGGCUUUUGAUCAGGUCCUUAUUAG